rnacentral:rRNA from 1 species
GAGGGAGGCCCUAGCACAGGUGCUGCAUGGCCGUCGUCAGCUCGUGCCGUGAGGUGUUGGGUUAAGUCCCGCAACGAGCGCAACCCCCGCCGUUAGUUGCCAGCGGUUCGGCCGGGCACUCUAACGGGACUGCCCGCGAAAGCGGGAGGAAGGAGGGGACGACGUCUGGUCAGCAUGGCCCUUACGGCCUGGGCGACACACGUGCUACAAUGCCCACUACAAAGCGAUGCCACCCGGCAACGGGGAGCUAAUCGCAAAAAGGUGGGCCCAGUUCGGAUUGGGGUCUGCAACCCGACCCCAUGAAGCCGGAAUCGCUAGUAAUCGCGGAUCAGCCAUGCCGCGGUGAAUACGUUCCCGGGCCUU